rnacentral:rRNA from 1 species
UACAGAGGUCCCGAGCGUUGUUCGGAUUCACUGGGCGUAAAGGGUGCGUAGGUGGUGAGGUAAGUCGGAUGUGAAAUCUCCGGGCUCAACCCGGAAAUGGCAUUGGAAACUACCUUGCUGGAGGAUUUGAGGGGGGAUUGGAAUACUUGGUGUAGCAGUGAAAUGCGUAGAUAUCAAGUGGAACAGCCAGUGGCGAAGGCGAAUCCCUGGAAAAUACCUGACACUGAGGCACGAAAGCUAGGGGAGCAAACAGG